rnacentral:rRNA from 1 species
UGUAAAGUUCAAGCUCCGAUUAUGAGGGCGAAUCCGCGAAUGGCUCAUUAAAUCAGUCAUAAUCUACUUGAUUGUUUCCAGUUUAUAUGGAUAACUGUGGUAAUUCUAGAGCUAAUACAUGCACAAAGGGGGCGACUCUUUCCCGAGAGAAGCUCUGCGUUUAUUAGACUAAGACCAAUGAUAGCUUGCUAUCUUGUUCAAGGUGACUCUGAGUAAAUAAUGGGUGAAAGCCCAUGGUGCUGACCUGAUAUAUCAAAAAGCCCGCAAGGGUUUGUCAGGCAAAUCAAUCGUGUGUCUGCUCUAUCAACUGUGGAUGGUAGGAUAAUUGCCUACCAUGGUGAUGACGGGUAACGGGGAGUUAGGGCUCGACUCCGGAGAACAAGCCUGAGAAACGGCUAGUAGGACUAAGGUCUGCAGCAGGCGCGAAACUUACACAAUGCUAGAUUACAAUUAGCGAUGUAGUGAAGAAAAAUAACGAUGUAUUUCCAUUUAAACAUGGUAAUACAAUUGGAAUGAGACGACUUUAAAUCAGUUAGUCGAGUAACAAAUGGAGGGCAAGUCUGGUGCCAGCAGCCGCGGUAAUUCCAGCUCCAUUAGCAUACAUUAAAGUUGUUGCGGUUAAAAAGCUCGUAGUUGAAUUUUAGGCGGGCUCUAUUGGGGUGCAAUCGUUAAGGUCCCCUGGUCUUAGGUCCGCCCUAUCCAGUGUGACUGGUUGUCAUCUUCCUAUAGGAACUCGCUGUUUCGUCACUUAAUCGAGUGCGAAGCGGGCUGGAACGAGGGUACGACUCCGGUCUACCUUGUCUCAGCAUCUUUACCUUGAGAAAAUUAGAGUGCUCACAGCAGGCAGUUGGGGUGUAAAAGCUCCUUUAUGCUUGAAUAAUGUUGCAUGGAAUAAUAGAAUACGGCCUCGGUUCUAUUCUGUUGGUCUUAUAGAACAACAAACAAGUUGGUUAAAGCGAUCAAAAGUCUAUAUGUGAGUGUGGUCUAGAGGUAGCUCUUUAGUUGCUGGUUAACUUCCGGUCAUGUCUUGUUGCCUGGGGCCAAAAUCUCAGAGCCUUACAUACCGGCUAGUUGCCUUCUUUUCUAAUUAGCACGCCUCUUUUCCAUCCAAAGCACUCCUUAUACGGCUAGCUUCUAAUCAACUGAGGCAAUGGUUAAAAGAAAUAGUCGCGGCGGCAUCAGUACUGCAUCGUGAGAGGUGAAAUUCUUAGACCGAUGC